UACGUAGGGUGCGAGCGUUGUUCGGAAUCAUUGGGCGUAAAGCGUGAGUAGGUGGUUUGCUAAGUCGGGUGUGAAAUCCCUGGGCUCAACCCAGGAAGUGCAUUCGAAACUAGCUGGCUGGAAGAUGGUAGAGGAAGGUGGAAUUCCAAGUGUAGAGGUGAAAUUCGUAGAUAUUCGCAAGAACACCAGUGGCGAAGGCGGCUCACUGGCCCGAUACUGACGCUGAGGCACGAAAGCGUGGGGAGCAAACAGG
rnacentral:rRNA from 1 species